ensembl:lncRNA
CCCACUCAUUCACAGUAAAAGCUGCAUUAUCACGACAGUUUUGCCGUAGCAUGAAAAUCCCGGCGUGUUUAAUGUUCAUGUGUGAGCAUCGAUGCCACAGAAGCUUUGCAUGUGAGCAGCGUGUAGCUUCUAAACCGCACGCGUUACUGCUUCAAACGGACAACUCACCCAACGGACGACCGCCGCCCCACAUCCAAUCUGGUUACGUAGGUCGGUUGAUUGACAGACAGUGGAAGACGGGAGCGCGGCGUCCUGCUCCAGGUCUCCUCUGCAUCACGUACGGCUCUUCUUCUUCGGGCCGAGAUCAAGCGUCUGUUUUUCCAUGUUUAAGAAACCUGCAUGUAAGCGCUUAUAUUUAAAGGGGUAAAAAGACUCUGGCAGUAAUCUGUUGUUCAGCAGUAAAGUUCACUUUACCCAGAACAGUUUUCAUCGUAACGCGGCUCGUUUCUAACGGAGACUCUGUGACUGUUCUCUUUUUAAUCACUUUACACAGCAGACGAUCGUGUGUGUGGAAGUUAGGUCUGUGUGUCCUGACACAGAGGAUUCCUUCACCGGCCUCCACAUUUUACACCAAAAUCAGACAAACAAACAAACAAACACCUGUUUAGAUCGGCCGUCUUUUUGGUUUCACUCUGCAUACAAACGGCGCAAAAUCCUAAAAAAGGUUGAUACCCUUUCGCCUCUGAGUCACAGAGCAGCAAACUGAGCUCAAGUGGCUCCUGUAGAUCAGAAGUAAUCCUCUGAGCGCUGGAACUGUGAGAUCUAAUUAGCGUUGUUGUGAGGCCGUUAGUGCCUCUCCGCCUCCGCUUCGUACCGGCUCACGCCAACGCCGCUGUGUUUGGCGAAGCCGUAAACAAAGAGCACGAGCGGGAUACACGAUGCAUCGCGUUGAAUUUAGUUUGGUAACGAGCGCUCAUAUCUAAUGAGACUUCACACGCAGUCACGAGGAGGCCGGAAGUGCCUCAAAGUCGCGUUCUCUCUUGUUUUUGACAGAACUCAGUUCAUCAACGUUCAGAAUCAGAAGCCGUUCUUUGCCACGUAUGUUACACAUACAGCAAUGUGAAAAGAAAACAAUAAAAUAAGAUACCAAUACACAAGCAAAAAUGAACAAUAUUAAACAGAUAAGAGAAGUACCACUGUGCAGAUGUCCUGUGUCCUGUGUCCUGUGUCCUGUGUCUGGGUCGGCGGGGACUCGGACUUCAUUUUUUUGUUUGUGCAGGCGUUAAUGAUACGAGAGCGCACAGAAGAGAGAGAAGAAGAAGAGAGGGAGGACGCCUCGUCCCAAAGACAGCACAUGUGUUUUGUGGACCAGGAAGUGACUUUUACAGUGUGUUUACGCUCUGUGGGGGAAAUGAACAUGCAUGUGGCAUCAAAGCACCUCCAGGACACCACUGAACAUCAGACAUCGUCGCUUCUCCCCACCUAUCAGACAACGUAUAUCUGUACAUGCUGCUUUUUAAUCUAAUUUAAAUGAAUAUAAUCUUCUUUUAUACUCUAACACAUUGUCCGCUUAGAACUUGAUGUAUAUGCACAACUAAUAUAAACUUAUAUCUUCAAGUCUUUGACCAGAAAUGGUAGAAGAGUAGAGAGUUUAAAACAGAGAACAUUCCAAGUUUUUUAACCAACAAAAAUGUAUACAACUGCUACUGAUGAAGGAAAAUAUGAGAAAAUAAAUAAUACAAAUAUUUUCAAAGACCAGAGACACAAGACAACAUUGUAUUUGAGGCGGGAGAACGUGGACACACACUUACGAUGGGUUUGGUGAACUGAUGGUUCAGCAGUAAAUAUUGUGAUCAAGCUGUCACAGUGUAUAAACAUCUGUACACAGACAGAGUGAGAGAGCAGAAAGAUUAGCAGACUUUGAGACAGACGGAGACGAGGGACGGAGACAAACGGCCAACGGCAGCCGGUGAGAGGAGGCGAAGGAGCAAAGACGUUGAAUGCAUGAGAUGUGAGUUCAGAGGCAGCGGCGAGGUGACGUCAUGAGAAGAGUCGGCUUCCGUCCUCUUGCACUCAAACGCCUGCUCACACACUUGACCCACAAACACGACUUGUUGUUAUUGGAGGUCCUACUAAAUAAGAUUAUUUGUUAUUUAUCAUUUCAUAUAUUUCACAAGGUUAGAAGUUAGAGGACCAGAGCUGUGGAAACGUAUCUACAAUCCAUCUGUUAAUCUGCUGUCGCUGUAAUUCCUCUAAUCAAGAGGAGCGAUGGAUUUAAGGAGAGUAAAGAAAAAGGAGAAGAGAUGGAAGGAGGCAGAUGUGUGGAGGAGAGAAAGGGUGAGGCAGAUGUGUGGAGGAGAGAAAGGGUGAGGCAGAUGUGUGCAGGAGAGAAAGGGGGAGGCAGAUGUGUGCAGGAGAGAAAGGGGGAGGCAGAAGUGAGCAGGAGAGAAAGGGGGAGGCAGAUGUGUGCAGGAGAGAAAGGGGGAGUCAGAUGUGUGCAGGAGAGAAAGGGGGAGUCAGAUGUGUGCAGGAGGGAAAGGGGGAGUCAGAUGUGUGCAGGAGAGAAAGGGGGAGUCAGAUGUGUGCAGGAGGGAAAGGGGGAGUCAGAUGUGUGCAGGAGAGAAAGGGGGAGGCAGAUG